UACGAAGGGGGCUAGCGUUGUUCGGAAUUACUGGGCGUAAAGCGCACGCAGGCGGCUCGAUAAAUUAGAAGUGAAAGCCCCGGGCUUAACCUGGGAAUUGCUUUUAAGACAGUCGGGCUAGAAUCCAGAAGAGGGUAGUGGAAUUCCGAGUGUAGAGGUGAAAUUCGUAGAUAUUCGGAAGAACACCAGUGGCGAAGGCGACUACCUGGUCUGGCAUUGACGCUCAUGUGCGAAAGCGUGGGGAGCAAACAGG
rnacentral:rRNA from 1 species